rnacentral:rRNA from 1 species
GAAUAUUGGACAAUGGGCGCAAGCCUGAUCCAGCCAUGCCGCGUGUGUGAAGAAGGCCUUCGGGUUGUAAAGCACUUUCAGCGAGGAGGAAGGGUGUUGUGUUAAUAGCACAGCAUUUUGACGUUACUCGCAGAAGAAGCACCGGCUACCUCCGUGCCAGCAGCCGCGGUAAUACGGAGGGUGCAAGCGUUAAUCGGAAUUACUGGGCGUAAAGCGCACGUAGGUGGUUUUGUAAGUCGGAUGUGAAAGCCCUGGGCUUAACCUGGGAAUUGCAUUCGAUACUGCUUGACUAGAGUAUGGUAGAGGGAAGUGGAAUUUCCGGUGUAGCGGUGAAAUGCGUAGAUAUCGGAAGGAACACCAGUGGCGAAGGCGACUUCCUGGGCCAAUACUGACACUGAGGUGCGAAAGCGUGGGUAGCAAACAGG